GCAGAAUUGUUAUGCAUGCAUCAAAAUAGAGCUUCUUUAUAAGACAAAGAUCCGAGGGAGGAAGCCCCAAAUGUCCUCAAAUCCUAGAAACGCCCCGGCUGUAAACUCAUAUCCUGUGCUCAGUGCUUUGGUGUGGGAGAGUCUCUUUCUUUUUGUCUCUUUCCAGCCACAGUGUUUCUCACUGCUCAUGGCACACAAAUCGAAGGCGAGCCACAGCCUCACGCUGGUGUUAACAAACGAGGUGAGCACAUGGAAUUGGCAGGUAGGUCUCAUGGGCCACAUGGAUCCUAGUAACCACCAUAGACUGAUGAGUCAGUCUAGUUGGAUUGGGUAGGGUUGCUGCAAGUCUCAGGAUCUGUGUAUCAGUAUAAUAUACGUCCAACCAUCGCAGGAGAAAAUGUCUCGUUUGAGGCAACUUUACAUUGAGUGGUCAGACACUGUGUGGCUACUACCUUCAACUGCAGCUGCUUGGUAAAUAUUGGAGUAGGAUGCAACAAUUACACUAUUUUCAUUAUUGAUUAAUCUGCUGGAUAUUUUCUUAAUUAAUC
rnacentral:lncRNA from 15 species